GACUGUGCGAGGCGAGUAGGCAACCGAGUGGAGACUGCGAUGGGUUGCGGCGAGGCGGCGACCGACCUGCGAGGAGGCAGUGACUGACGUCCGACGGCGAGGUCAAAUGGGAGCAAUGAAGAUGUAGAAAUAAAAAAUCCCAGUGAGAAGUGUCCAAAAAUUUCUCUCUCGGCUCAACAAAAAAUUGCACAAAAGCUCUACUCCUUCCAGUUCAGUUCAGGUUGUUUUCCUGAAAUCUUGAAUGGACCACCAAGAUUUGGUGACAGGGAUGGGUAUCGUGGUGGCCCAAGAGGAGGUCCACCUGGUGAGUUUGGAGGUUAGAAGGGUGGAGCUCAAGCUGAUUUCCAGCCAGCCUUCAGGGUAUGCUUAUCCCUGUUA